rnacentral:lncRNA from 1 species
UAACAACUGGGUGCCUUAAGAAGUGAGUGUACACACUAGCCAGAGUCCAGCGGUAUAUAAGGGGACCAAGAGAUGGGCCAGUCAAUUUCAGAUAUGUGUCUCAGGUCCCACUCCAGCCACCUUUGGCCCAUUUCAUCCGGCCACAGACACAGAAUAAAAGGAAGACCGGCUCCUACAACUGCUGACGGACCGAAAAGUCCUCACGCCUCCCUGGCUCUUCUUUCCUGCGCUGCAGCUUUUCCCUCCUUCUCUGGCUACAAUGUCACAAACACACAGGCGGCAGCAUUCGCAUGGAACAAUGCACAACAAAGACUCCAAGAAGUAUUUCUGGACCCCAAAUUCCCACUCUUCACAGCUUGGAAGGACACACCUGGUGCUGCUGCUUUCCUUAGCCUGGCAUCAUUGAGACAUCAGAGUGAAGUACAUCUGUGGACCAGUGGAUCCCAUGACCACCAACUUGUGACCCUGAGUCAAUACAUGUACCUUUCCUUCGCCGUUAGCAAAGUUGAUUGUAUUCAAGGAGCUCAGAGGCCUCCAUAUGCUAACCACUGGGAAAAUCUAACCAGGUAACAAAUAUUCAUCAGAGGCCUCUCAGGUAUAAGGCACUAGAAGUUAGGGACAAUGUGAAACAAGAGAAAAAAAAAAUCAUGGUUAAGUCAAUUAGCAUUGCAAAUGGAAAUUAUGGCUUUGAGGGAGGGGGCUCCAGCAGCCUCUGCAUAAGACAGUUCCAUAUAUGGCCUUACAACCAAGCUCGUAAAUUCCAGCCCACUGCUGGGCCCCAUCCUGUGAUACUUAAGAUGGGCUCUGGACUAUCUGAAUUCGUUUAUUUUUCAUUGCUGCAGUGAACAGCAGGAGGAAAUCGACUCAGAG